rnacentral:rRNA from 1 species
GAUGAACGCUAGCUACAGGCUUAACACAUGCAAGUCGAGGGGAAACGGCAUUAAGUGCUUGCACUUUUUGGACGUCGACCGGCGCACGGGUGAGUAACGCGUAUCCAACCUUCCCAUGACUAAGGGAUAACCUGCCGAAAGGCAGACUAAUACCUUAUGGUCUUCACUGACGGCAUCAGAUGUGAAGUAAAGAUUUAUCGGUUAUGGAUGGGGAUGCGUCUGAUUAGCUUGUUGGCGGGGUAACGGCCCACCAAGGCAACGAUCAGUAGGGGUUCUGAGAGGGAGGGCCCCCACAGUGGAACUGAGACACGGUCCAAACGCCUACGGGAGGCAGCAGUGAGGAAUAUGGGGCAAGGGGCGAGAGCCUGAACCAGCCAAGUAGCGUGCAGGAUGACGGCCCUAUGGGGUGUAAACUGCGGUUGUAUGGGGAUAAAGUCAAUCACGUGUGAUUGUUUGCAGGUAGCAUACGAAUAAGGACCGGCUAAUUCCGUG